rnacentral:misc_RNA from 1 species
UCCCCGUUGCCGGGGCAGUCUCGCUAGAAAAAUACAACUAGCGAUAAGGGUUGCGCUCGUUGAUGGACUUAACCAAACAUCUCACGACACGAGCUGAAGACGGCCAUGCAUCACCUGUCACUAGGCUCCCUAAGGCACUCGCUUCUUUCGAAGCAAUUCCUAGGAUGUCAAGCCUUGGUAAGGUUCUCCGUUUACCAUCGGAUUAAGCAACACGCUCCACCGCUUGUGCGGGUCCCCGUCAAUUCCUUUGAGUUUUAAUCUUGCGAUCGUACUCCCCAGGCGGGAUGCUUAACGCGUUAGCUUUGCUACGCAGCGGGUCGAUACGCCACACAGCUAGCAUCCAUCGUUUACAGCGUGGACUAC